AUCGCUUCUCGGCCUUUUGGCUAAGAUCAAGUGUAGAAUACAUAGCAUACAUAUGAGGUGUAAUCAAAAAUAUGAUUAAUGUUUAAAUAAAAAAAAUUUAUUACAUUAACAGACACAUUGCCAUUAAUCCCCC
rnacentral:snRNA from 1 species